CUCCCUGCCUUGCCUUGCCUGCCUGAGGCGCGCUCCCGACACGCCGCCGCGCGCGUCCCCGCCCGGCCCGGCCCGGCCCGCCGCCGGAGACCCGAGGGGGAAGAGGGGGAGAAACCGGGCCGACGGAGCUACGCGCCCUCCCAACCCCCCCCAAACACCGGACGGCGGGGCUCCACCGGACGGCCCCGGUCGGGGAAAAGGAGGGGGGGUAACGGGGAAGGCGGGCUCGGCGGCUCCUCCUGAGGGGGGACUACUUGACGUGUCGGUGCGGCGAAUUUAUUUCCCUUUGCCUAAGGAACGGGCUGUGCUGCGGCUCCCAUUGCCUAGGGAAAAAGCCCGGAUGUAAAGAAUCAUGCAAGGGGACUGUUUGAAGGCUGUGGAGGAACUGUGGUACGCUCCCCUACAAACCAAAGCAGCAUCCUGACUCUCCGCUGCUUGAAAUACUGUUCAGAGGCAGCAGCCAACGCUAGGUGGGAGUUGGCUGGGGCACUGUCCGGUGGCGCCUGGUGUGGCUCUGCUGGGCCCCUGUGGUGGGUUUGCAGCCACCCACUGGCGCGCACCCAUCCCAGCGAGCCUCUUCCCUGGAGAGAUAGAGACCAGGGUCAGCCCACCCAGCAGCUUCCACUAGGGGCCACUGCUACAUAAAGGAGGAGGAGGUGGAGGAAGAGGAAGAGGAGAGGGAAGAGUUCAAAAAGCGUUGCAGUCUUGAGUUUUUAUUUCCAGGCAUGAGGACAUCUGUUUGUAAACUGCUUGGCAAAUGUGUAUGAAGAACUACUAUUUCCGCUGAGGAGCACAAAAGAAAAGGGGUGACCACUGGGAGCUGCAGGGGCUGCUUUGUUUCCAUAUCAGAUGUUACUGGCAGGGACUGAAAAGUCACCCACCCCUUGACCCAAACCCUUCUCUCUGCAUUACGUGCACUUAGAGAAGCAGCGGAUCCCUUGUUCUUGAGGGGACAUCUGAGGUCGAGGAGGUGAAAUGUCCUAUGCAACAGCACUUCAGAGAGGAAGUAAUGCAUGUUAUAACAACAAUGAAGCUAUUUUUACAAAUAUCUGUAUGAAAUUUGCCGCUUCCAGUUUGGACCUAAAGAAAGGCUUGUGUGCCUAAAAGCUUGUUUGUGUUUUCCAGCAAUACUGGUUGAUCUCCUAAUAAAUAUAUAUUGCCUUCA